UGUGUCGCCGCACGGCGCAACGCGACGCGACGUUUCGUUUCGUUUCGUUUCGUUUCGUUUCGUUUCGUUUCAUUUCGUUUCGUUUCGUUUCGUUCCGUUUCGUUCGACCGAAGCGGUGCUGCUUCGACGAGGGGCCGCGGGGGGAAGCAGCGUUUUCUACCGCGUCUACGUGUUUUCGGUGUAAUAAAUAAGAUUGUUACAAGAAGACAGGAAACUAAUUUCACGGAUAGAGACGGCGAGAGUUGGCGAAGGGUCGUCCAGUUGGCCACUUUUACUCCGUCUUUCCUAUUGGUAAAUAUAAUUCCUCUGUUCUAGCCUCUGUGCGUGUAACAGCACUUGGGAACAGAUGAUAGAUGGCAAGGAUUCGGAGGAUGUGUGACAAAGUGCACGGACAGUAUUACAAAUCAUCUCCAAUUAACAAGGACGCGCAAUUAGCUGGCCACAAUUGACAUUAAAUCUAAUCUGAAGAUCUCCGUUAUGAAUUACAAUCGACGAGCAGCAGACGAUAGCCACAGGCUAGUCGGGGCUUUCGUGCCAUUUUCUGUCAAGUCAGGAGGAACAUUCAUUCCUGCUCGGAUAACGCGAACAGGAUCUGGAACGCAUCUCGAGUGUCGCCAGGACAUUAUCGUCCGUCCUUCGAACGCUCGUGACUGCUGCCUACGCAACCGCGACUGCCGCCUGUUCAACCAUCCAACGAACAGCCACUUUAAUCGUGGAAGAAACCUGGUUUCAACGUUAUCCCCCUCUUCUUUUUCUCUUCCUUUUUUGUUUUUUUUUUAUCUGACAAAUGACCACUACGCCCUCUUCUCGUUAAACAUCAUUUUCAUGCCGGGCGAAAAAUGUGCGCGCCAAAUUGGCCGAGCGUUCCCUAUAGUCGUCGACGUUUAAAAGUAAUUAGUAAUUCCGUUCAGUCGAUCGAAAAUUUUCACUUUCGAAAAAAAGAAGAAAGAAAAUAAACGGCAGACAAUAUCGCAUUGUUAUAUUUUGGAUAUAAUUGGACUCGCUUUUUUAUUCUACUUUUCAUUAACAAUUACACAUACGUCAGUAAUUAAUCAUCGUAAUCAGAUCUCAGAUAAAACACUUUCCCCCUAUGAAUACAUCGACAAAUAAUAUAUAUACGACGAACAAAGUCAUCUUGAUAAGAAAAAUGCUACAAAUUUCAAAAUUGUUCUCGAUCCUAUCGUAUUCUUCUUACCUCGAAGAGAUAUGAAAAUAAGGAUAAAUGGGAGCCACUGGGAUAAGGAAAAAAUUCGACUAGAAAAAAAGAAACGUACUCCGGAUGGUGCCUACUCCGAACUGUCGUCUUUAAUGUUUUAACGAACCGUGCACGUUAAAAUGAUGUCGCGCACUAGCCGGGACUCGUAUAAUGCGAUUGCACAUGCUGCCGAUGCACCGACUAGUAAUAUAGCGAUACAGCCAGCCGUCGGCCGACGCGUACACCUUUGUCAGAUGCAUCCAACCAUUCUCCAAUGAGAGAACAGCGAAAGAUCGUGCCGCGAUUCAACCAACAAGAUAGUUUGCGUUGUCGAUCGAAUCCCCUGAUCCUGAUUAUAUUAAAAUUACCGCUCCGCUUACGACGCGUCCGCCACUACUAUGGAAAUUUUCCGCUAACGCUUAUUGCAUUUCGGUGCCUACAGCGACUGGAUCAUUGGAAUAUGGAAAAACACAGGAUGUCUUCGACGCUUAGAUAUAUUAUUUUUUAUAUACGCAUAUAUAGAUAAUAAUCUCAAUUAUGAGAGUACGCAAAUGAACCGAGUCAAGAGUUGAUCUUUGCUUGCUUAAUGAGUGCACGGCCACGACUCUUCUUCGACGUAUUCCCGUACCAAUUGGAAAAUUAUUCUAAUUCACUUCGUUCGCAUAAAUUAUCCUGUAUAUGUGCGACUGUUUAUGAAAUAAGUUAUCAGAUUAUGGUGAGAAAGAAACAUUUAUACACGUGAAUUUUACCAUCGAAGUCGAGUCGAAUCGAGCUACGACUACUUGCGCCUAGUUCUGAUCAGUUUCCCGAAGGGUGAAGAGCUCGCGAGCAACGAGUACUGGAGGAAAUGAUCCAGUGGGAAGGAACGUCGCCGAUAGGUUACUCGGGAUGCUCGGUGAACAAGGACGGGGUACGUAGUGCCCGCAGAUAUUAGGUGGAAGGGAAAGGUUUGGUGUGCAGCGAGCGAGCGAGGGUCGAUAUUAAUCUACAUCCAACACCGCGGCGAGGGACGGCCAGGCAUUCAUCAUCUUUAUUUUAACCACACUACCGACCGGCCGGUAUAUCUGACUGCGAUCUGCACUAAUAACAUUCGCGUUAUGAAUGGCGUGCGCGAUCCCUGAAACACCGCGAGCAUUAAUUCGCUAGGCGAAAGCGUAUCGAAAAUUGCCAACGACCGACGAUUGAGGUACUCCUCCAUGUGUUGGCGAAUAGCUUACUGCCAGGCUACCACGAUCAAGUGCAAGAAUUCCAUGUUUUACGGAGGAAACGAGAUUGACAAGAUCUUUGGAAGAACUUGCAUCGAGUUGAAAGAACGUCUUUUUCGACCGAAGGAAGAUGGGAAUGAUUAAUGGCAAAUGGCUAAUAAAUGACAAGAGAGUAAAGAGAAGCAAAUAUGGGCAAGAAAAUUACGCGCGUAAACCUACUUUGGGAAGAAAGCAAAGAUUUUAAAAAAACGAACACCUCGGUCGAAACUUUGAAUACCAGGCCAGGUUAGAAAUAUAGGAUCGUUAAAAAGGAAACAGAUAAACGCCAAUUGCCUCGAAUCGGGUCGAUCUAACAAUCAUUAAUCUGCCGUUAUCCGAUAGAUUCAUCGACAUUGAUAGAAAUUUCCGCAGGUCUAUAGCGUGGACGUGUGAGCAAGAAAAAAAAAAACAAAUAGAUUUUCUAAAGUUAGAUUCAUCACCAUGGUGGCAAUUAAAAAUACGGAGAUGCAAUUAUACAUCGUAUCGAUCCUUCUAUCAUAUUUAACAGGUAACGAUCGACCGAUCGUCAUAAACAUGAUUUUGUCUAUCUAUCUUGAACGAAUGCGACGAUAUCGUAAUGAUGAUCCACGUAACACGUUGCUAAGGUAUACUAUAGUUACGCGAGAAAGGAGAAAUAUCGAUAUAGAUGAGAGAAAUAAUCGAACUGGCUACUAUCGUGGAAAAGAAACAGGAGGAUUCGUCGACCCGUAGUACGAGAAAAGAACGACGCGUUGCCGUGAAGGAAAAAAAAAUGGCAGGAUAGAGUUGGAAAAGAAACAGCCUAGCUUUGUGACAGAAAAGGAAAGAGAGAUAGGGAGAAAGCGACAGAGAAAAAGAGAGCACAUGCACAGUGGCGGUUGAACGCGCGCGCAGCUAAAUUAGUCCGCAGAAAAUCGCGCGAUCUAUUCUGCCCCGCGGGGCUUUCUUUCCUCGCAGCACCGUGUCCCGAAAUAAUUGGCAAAAGAAACCACUGGACUGCCUACCAUUCCCGACGGACAAUGUGAAUUAUUCGAGUUGGCGGCGUAGGGAGCAGCACGUAUGUUACGUCGUCGCCGUCGUCCUCUCCUGUUGGCCGCGUACCGUGAUGCGCCACGCCAUGUCUAGAGCAAAACGAACAGACGCUAUUGAGCAGCCGAGGAAAAUCGCUUCCACGCUCUCCAUUCAACCGAGAAUGCAUUAGGGCCCCUAGGGAUGAGAUGCGACACGCUAGUGGCCAGCAGGAAGCUGGUACGGUGCGCGCGAGUCGCGCUACUUGCGGAAUAGAAUAGCAUGGAGCGCGUUGAACAAAUCGAAAAUAGCACGGUUCCUGACGAUCGGACAAAAUAGACCGUGCUGUAUACCGUGCAGCCUUCUCUGAUCGGCGACGCGUGGCUAGUGUGCCGUGAGGGCGAAGAAAACGAUUUACGAUCGCUCUUACCUUCUCAUAGAACGGAAACUAAAUAAAAAAAAAAUGGAAUUUCUAAUCGGUGAAAAAGAGAACUCGAUGUAUUUUGUUCCUAAAAGAGGUUAGACCUGUUGCUGAAUAUACGUACUUGAGAUGAAUCAAUAUGACGAUGGAGGAGUAUAAAGGUACGUCGAAAAAACGAAAAAAUUAAAGGCGAAACGAAAUAAUAGAUUGAGAAAAAGAAGAUUAAGGGAUAAGGACAUGAAAUGCUAAUGAAUACGAAACGACGCGCGAAAGAAUUUUUUUUUUGACGAUUUGAGAGUAGAGUAUGUAUUAUGUUUAUGUAUCACUUCGUUCGAAUGUCACGAAAGAUAAUUUGUUCUGUCUCUCACUGUCUGAUCACUAUAUGAAUAAUAACAAUCGCGUAUCACGUUUCCCUUCCUUCAUCACUUUGUGUUUAUAUUUUGCUAUACGAAUUACGACUACGUUGUAUUCGACGCAAAUUACGUACGAGAAAAAAAAUUAUUGUAUAGCAUUUUAUAGCAUUCUAUAUGUAUUCACAGUUGUUGAAAUUUAUUAUGCAGCAAUUAUAAUAGAACAUGGCCUUAUAAUCUAAUGAAAUUUUAUCAUCCAGAUACAAUAUAUUUGGAAAUAUACAAUUAAUAAAAAUUCAAACAUACCAUUAUGAUGUCUCUUUGAUGUAUCCUUGAUGAAACGACAAGAUGUCGUACUUCUAAUUUUCAUUGAAUCCUAUAAAUUUCUCGAAUGCUACUAAAUUACGUCUUGAAAUAACUGCACACAACUUGUAUUACUAUUAACAAUAUAUUUCACACUAUACGAUAUUAAUAAAGUCAAAAUUCAAGAUAAAACUGCACAGUUUAAACAAUCUAAAUUUAAUUUCACAUUUUAACAAACCGACACAGAAAAUUCAGAGGUAUCGACUUCGACUGAUCAGAUGAUCAUGCGCAGUAUAUAUUAACGAAGUAUAACUACGCCACCCUAUCGUAAACUUCGAAACAACAGGUGCCUAUGACGUCACGGUACGUGUAUUCCAUUUUUCAUUGGUUACAAACGACAGUAACUUUGUCUAAUCUUUACGUUGAUUGGUAAAUUUUUAAUACUAAAUUGUCACAGCUUAUAUUCCGCAAUAGCAGAAAUAAAUGUACCUAGUGAAAUUUUUUCUUCGUGAAAGUGUAAUCGUGAGGUUAAUCGAUUGUCGAUGUUUGAUAUCUGGAUUUAUAUGAUAAAUAGUAAUUAUAUCACAUUCAAUUUUACUCUUAAUUUUUGCAAAAGAGAUAAUUUAAAUCAGACAAAAAUAAUUAUGAAAAUCGGAAUAUCAUCAUUUAUACUUAAAAAAUGAGGUUAUCAACACGUUGUUAUAUAUAUACAUAUAUAUAAAAUAUUUAGAUAAUCUAUCGCGAAUGAAUCAUGUUGGCUAAUAAUACGAAAUUUAAUCGAUUACAUCACACAAUUAUGCAAUAUUAUUUUCUGCGAUAAUAUUAAAGGUUAAACAUCACAAUUAUCUCUUCGAUUUUUGUGUUUCUCUAUUUCGAAAUAAUAAAUAUUUAUUACACACAGGUGUCUGUGUUAUAUUUAAUCGUAUCAUUACCGUCCACUGAACGAAUGUUACAUAAUUAUGUUUAAUAGUUUACUCGAUUAGAUGAGUGUUGUGCAUUUUUUGUGACCAUGGAUUGAAUUUUUUUAACUAGAAAUCAAACGCAAUAAUAGAACAUAGUUCGAGGAUAACUUUUUGCGAGAGAAGAAAACGAUUGAAAUAGAUCUUCUCACUCACAUUCCGCACAGUCAUGUUGAUCGGUUAAUCAUCCUGUCUUCGACGCAAUUAUUCCAAGUAAGUGGAAAAUCGAUUCAGAAAAAUGCGUGCAUCAUACUUCGGUGUAUCAUAACUGUAAUACGACUCGUUGCUACGAUCUGUGAAAUAUAUCGUCAGAAUUUUCGAGUACCAAUCGUCGAUACACGCGCUAUCCGUAUCUCGCGUGUUCGUAUCGUUGAUUGGAAUUAGAUAUAAUUUUUCAAACCGUAAAAUAAACCGUUAGAAACAUUAACGAGAAAUUCUUCUUCGAUAAGUUCAAACACGUUUGUAAACGUUUACAUAAUAAAUAUUUACUCGCAUCGCCGCGUGCCGAAUUAUCGAUACACCCACCGAUUACCGUUUAAUUUACGUGACGAGAGGCUUGUAACGCCUGUUUUAUUACCUUGGCACUGAUUACUCGACCAAGUGCCAAAAGUAAUUAUUCUUUUCCGAAUCUAGUUUAUCGAAGCUCGUUCCGAUAAAGCGCGUAAUGGGGCCGACACAUUUCGAUUUCAAUAUCUCUUUUCGAACACGUGAAAUUUGAAUCCGUUUGAGGAGAUAGUUACGUACGUAAGUAGUAUAAAAUGAUAUCUCAUAAAUUAGCUCGGGUUAAUGGCACCUUGAGCCAAUCAACGAGCAUCUCAAUUUUAUCGAACGAUCAAAAACGUCGGGAUUAUAUUAUCGCGGCUAUAAAAAAAGGAAAAAUUUAAAAUCGACAACUUGGUGAAUAAGCGUGCACCGAUCGUAAGCAAACUAGAUACUACCAUAAUUUCAUUAAAUUUUUUUCUCCGAUGCGAUUUCUCGAUACAGGCGGGAAUUUCCCGAGAAAAAAAAAAUAUGUGUUUGCUUUUCCAUUUAUCGGAUAAAACGCGAAAGGGAUAAUCAUUCCCAUUGAUAACUAGAAACGGAGAUUAAAAUAUCUCGAUUGGAGAACCGGAUAUCACGGAAUUCCGCAACCGGGAGACCAGCGCGAAGAUUGCCACGAUAGUGGGGAAUUUGAAGGUAAAACAACUAUUACAGUUUAAGUAUAGUACGAAUUAUCGCUAAAGCGGGAAGGUAGUAACUGUACAUCGCACAUCAAUUCGCGUAACUUUAUCGCUAACAUUUGUCUUCGUGUUACUAUUGUGGGACCAAACUACUGCUUGCACGGAGCAAGCGGAUGGAAAAUAACAGAUGAAAAUACGUUUGGUCUUGGACCGGAGGUGGGUAAAUUAAAUUCGCGCGAGAUCGAUGCCCCUUUUGAUAUUUUCCACUUGACAGCGUGUAAUGGACUAAAAAUACCUAAAAGUAAGUAAGAGCAUUUUAUCGAAACGUUGCGACGAGCCGUGUCGCCGAGUUCCGCGAAACGUUCCAAAAAACGACGAUCCGAGACGCGUUGCCGCCCGAUCCAUUGAUCGCGAAAUUUAUCAUGGUGACGGGAAGCCGCGACGACUAAACGCCAUAAUUACGUUCGCAACGUGACGCGCCGUUUACACCGACUCAAUUUUCGCGCGCCUCGUGCCGAUCUCUAAAUCAUAAAUGAUUUCAAUGCCACGCUCAAAUUCUAGGAGCCGUAGCACGUAGCACCAAGACCGAUCACCAGUGUAAAUUGUGUUUUCUUGAGCGUGGUAGACGUCUCUUACAAAGGGUGCCACGGCAAAACGAGCAUUAAUCAAAUCCAUUGCGAGGCAGCCAGCGAGGGACACAAAGGACUAAUUAAGAUUUCUGCCACCGGUGGUCCCGCUAAAAACUAAGAACCGGCGACCUUGCGCUCGUUAUUUAGUGUUGAUUUACGAUUAUUUUCAAUGGGCCGCUCUAUUAUUUUCGUUCCCCUUCUGCUCGCCAAGUCCGUUUUAUCCCAUCGGCCAAGUCCAUCCAUCUCCGAUACGAUCCCCGUAUUGGAAUCGCUCGUCCGUUCGCACGCGUCCGAAGGAAUUGGAAGCCAUAUUUUUCUAGUCCUGGAUAACGGUACCGCAACCGUUUUUUCGAGAUAACGCGCACGAAGAAGCCACUGUUAUUGGUAUCGUACGCCCGAUACGGCACAGGCCGAGCGUGCAUAAUGCGUUAGUGCUAAAUUUACGUUCUGGCGACGCGCAUCUAGACGCACGUGGGAGGAGUCCGCGCUCACCCUUUCUCUCUCUCUCUCUCUCUCUCUCUUUCCUCCGCUCGAUCUUCUCGCCCCGCUUGCGCAAGCUGCCGACGGUGUUGCCACUUGACUGGCGAUUUGUUACUCGCAACCAUACGCGAUGAAUAAUUGGCGGUGUCACGGUGGCUAGGUGUAAAACGCCGUUUCCACGUUCACGGCGGGGACGGAAUCGUUUGCUGCGCGAGCACGGGGGCGUCCCCCGUCCGACCAGACUCGCGUGUCACUUCCAAGACCGAGACGUCGAGGUUAAUCAAGCGUCUUCGAUAAACCGUGGCCGUAUGGUAUGCGAAUCUAAUCGUACGAAUCGCGCUAAUGAAUCACCGGUUCCCUUCGGAUGGUCGUCGUUCUCCAGCGAACGCCGGUAUAAUCUUAUUAGAACUGACUACACGGCCGAUAAGGAAUCGCGAUUCAAAGUCGUCUCAUUUGUUACCGAUUAUCCGGCCACGUUCUAAUCGAGAACCGUACCAUUUCCUUCCAUCGAAUAAAGUUAUCCACCCAUUACCGUUUUUAUCGAAUCGCGAGUUGAAAAGCUCGUCUAAUCGUUCUGCCCGCGACCUAUCGGUUCGAAAAAUCGGCGAAACCAGAAUCGGCGCCGCUCCCUCUUACGAACGAUGGAUAGUUACACGGUGGACGACGGUUGAACGAGAGUUGAACGAUAAGCCGACCGGAUUAUAAAGUCGACGUGUAUCGAACGACGUGAAUAACGCGAGAAUGUUAGGCACCGCGUGGAGGAACACAAACGAUACGGUGGAUUCGUUUAUACGCGAGUUAAUAAUAAUGGGUAUGGAGAAUAGAGCCGUGUGGAGGAAGAAGGGCCGACUGGUAGUAGCUGAAACGUCCACGAGUCAUUAGCCGGGCAAAUGGCGUUACGGUAGCCGGAGCACGUGGUAUGAGGUAUCCUGCUCUCUCCCGCGGUCGCGUCGUAAUCAGCUCGCUGUGAAAGCGGACGGAGAAAUGCGCGGCCCAUUAGGCGAACAACGGCGGCCACUGUUCCUCGACGGAGGCGGCCGUUUCUCCUGAUAUCGCGGCCGAUGUGACCGGCGUUGCAACGCCGACAGAAACGUGAUUGGCGAACGGGUGCCGCGCGGUGGAGGUGGCUACGCUUCCAUUCCACGCGCUUCCGACGAAACUCAUUCACCCGUUUUCACGCGCUUUCAAUGAGAUGGCAGCGCGCUUCCCGCCUCCGAUUCACGGAAACUGCUAACGAAAACCCUCGUUAUAAAUAGGGAGAGAGAGCCGUACCUCGCCUCGCUUUCGCCAGCCGGGAGGAUACUUACUAAUGGUCGAAUUGUUUGCUGUUUAACGAGCGUUGCGUAUUUCCGUCGGCAAACAGCUGCUUCAAUUAUGAAUUAUUAACGGGGCAUUAAGCAUAGGUUGACGCUUCAUCUUUCGUAAUUAACGUAAGUCAGGAAAGCGUCUAACGCUGCACGUACGAGCAAAGUUAUUACAUUUCGCAAACAAUGAAGAGCCGCUCGAAAAAAUAUCCUGUUACACUACUAGAAACAGUUUACAGUUAUUAUUGCUCGUGAGCAAAUACGAAAGUAUACUCUCCACUAAUACGUCUCUUUCUUUCCUUUUCCGGUUCUCCCACGCGCCGUCGACUCGUCCGUUCUCAUCCCGAUCGGUUCGCCCGGCCCAGGAUGAACGUUCCGCGUGGAGGCGAGAUCGCCGAGCGACAGGUGGUGUCCUCUCGAUCCGUGCGGCCCGAGGAGACGCAACCAAUUUCCCCUACAUACGUACAUACACACACGUAUAUUCGAGGUGGGAUUUUCACGUUCUCGCGCUCUCCAGUCCCCCCUCCACCGCGAUCGAUGACAGGUUUGCGGUUGUCCUUAUAAUAGCUGCGCGGCCACGCCGACACGUCGAGAAACCACCGAGAAGCGGGUAACUCGUCACCGCAUACGGCGAUCUAUUUAUGCGAGACGUUGCUCUCAUACGCGAAUCCUAUUACCGGUGGCCGUAAUGCGCGCGUUUUCGCGGGACGCGCGCGCCCGUUAUUUUCGUAGCUCGGCUCACCACCGACCGCCACGAUACGACCGAUCGGUCGUGCGGGCAGGUGCUGGCACGUUGUUGCGGCCGCAGGUGAGCACGAGAGCCGCGGAAUCAUCUCUGGCCACGAAUUUAUUGCCAACGAGGAGAAAGAAAUACGCGGAAGUUACGGGAACAAGGACGAAAACGGGAGCCCGAUUUUGAUGUAGUGUUGGUAAUUACGAGAGAGAGAGAGAGAGAGAGAGAGAAGGGGAGGGGGGACGAAAUGCGGCGCGGCGGCGGGCGAGAUAAGGAAAAUUGGGCGAGGAUCGAUCGGGUAUCGAUGAUGCCGCUAAUUUGAAAAUAUGUACCGGAUAAUGUAUGGACACUUGUUAAGAAAUCGUAAAUCAGUCCGCUCGGUGUAAAAUACGAAUACGAUCGGCGGUUCCCCGACACGAGCCGAAAUUCGCACGUUGUGCCACGUCGGCCGAGUAUUAAUUAUAUAUAUAUAUAUAUAUACGGGUAGGUAGUGUCGCUUAGAACGAUUCAAAAAUCCAUGAAUUUAAAGAAUUGAUUUAAAUUGGAAUUUUAUACGUUUUUCAAAUUGUCAAGUAUCGCGAUAAAUUAUUUACUUUUCCUCGACGAUCUGGUCUAGAAUUGAAUCUAGAGAAUGGUUACGGUUAAUUAUGAUUCAAUCGAGUAUAAAGAUCGAGCGUAGAUUUUGAUUUAGUUGUACCUGCCGGAUAGGUAUUUUUAAUCGAUAACCGAUAAUUAUUUCCGUUAGUUGAAAAAUUGCAAUCCAGAUCGCAUUAUUGGAUUUUAUAGCUCGGAAAAAUAAAUCAUGGAAGCGGAAAAAAGUUUAAGUAGCAAAAAAAGCUCGCGGCUCGAGUUCGUCAUCAUCGUCACAGCUGCUCAUUAGCCUAAUGGACGACUGCUGCGACGAUACGCUACGCCCAUUUCAAGCUGCACUAGUCUUUCGUUCAAUCGUGUAUUUACAUUAUUAUAUCAUGCGAUCGUGAAAUUAACCGAUCUUGUUCCAAAAAGUAUCCAAGAAGUAAAAAUUUCGGAAGUAGAAUUCGAAAACAAAAUUAUCCGGCAAUUUAAUGGCAAUUGAUAAUCGUGCCGGAUGAGCGUCGUUCCUUUCGACUCAUUUUCGUGGAAAAUAUUGUUUCCCUUUCUCUCGAAAAGAUGGCAAAUUUAGAAAAAAAAAAUCCUUACAUCAUCGUAAAAGAAUCCAAAACUAAAAAUACUCGUUUCGCUUAAAUAGUCGAGCGAGCGAAAAUACAGAAGAGACAAUGAGUCAUAAAGCGCAAUUCCCUCCAUCCCGAAUCCGACGAAGGCAUCGUCCUCAUCAAUGCGAUCGUACGGUUGAAUCAUUCACCACCCACACCUUCCACCGUCCAAGCCGAUAAAGAAACGCGAGUCUCGCUAAUUGUUACGAUGAUGGAUCGGUGGAAGAGAAAUCUUUGUUCUCCCUCGGCGCGCGAUGAAUUACGCUCGGUGGAUGGUCGCGAUAGGAAUGCCAGUCGGCCAGCUCCGACACGGAAUUCUUGUCGCGGGCAAGAAACGGAUAAACUCGUUUCUCGUUAGAUAACAGAUAAUCGACGCUGGUUUUCCCGCUUGGUUAAUGGGGCCGUGGUGCCCCGUCACGUGUGAACCGAACGACAAUGAAGACAUCCACACGAUCCGGCUUAAUCUCAAUCUCCCUUUCUCUCUCCACUCGUAAUAAUCGCGUCAUAAACGCGAAACGUUGGUCGAUUCACGUUCGUCCCCCUCGACUCCAGCCUCCACUCGCUUCUCUUCCCCGCUUCCUUUGGGAAAAAACGAAUCGAACGAUCUCCCGUAUUAUUUAUCGCUCGACUUUUUACCCAGCUUAUACACUUAAUCGGUGGAGGAGGAGCGCGGGCUAUUAAUCCGCGGGAAGGACAAUGGAGAUAUCAUUCCGCGGCAGGGGAUCUCGCGCGGGGCGCAAUAAUAAUUUAUUAACGUCCCACGCGUAAUGCGACGCGUUAUCUCGCAUCCGCCCACGCGUUCGGCUACCUCUGCGCACCACUGCCACCCCUCGCUGGCCGCCCCGCCCCGCCCCGCCCCGCCCGACACCGCCGGACGGCAGCCGAUCGUGUCAGCCGCAAUUGUCAUUUAUCGUCCCGACGAUUUACGGUUCCGUUUACACGGAGCGCCGAUACCAGGGCGUCCCCGAGUUUCCAGCGAUUCAUCAGCGCGCGAUCGCUCGUAUAUCCUCGCCUGCGACAGCGCACCACGCCGCAGCUCCUACUUUCUUCCCGCGUAUCUCCGUCGAGGUGCACCCACCGCCCCAAACAUCCUCCGAGUCCUUUUUUUUCCUCGACCUCUCUCGCCGAUGCGAUCUCGAAGCCGGGACGAAGAGGACGUAUUCUUACGGCGAAGGACGAAAGUAGGUCGAAAGGGAGGAAUUUUAAACGGCAGAGUAAAUUCUCGUCUCGAAUCGAUAGAGUCGAUCGCGCACGGAUACGGAAAGAGUACGUGGUAAGCGAAUAAUUAAAGGGCUAUCGGUUGACACCGGACAAUCGAGCCUUGCAAUCGAGUUGUAAUUACGGCGAAAUACAAACAGAGGAUCGCAUCGGUGGUAUUGGAGAAAGAAAGGAUCUCGAUUAUCUCCGCGCGGCGAGCUCGUCCUCCGUAAGUAACGGCGAUCGAAGAAAGAGAGAAGCGUAAAAGAGUUGGAGGGAAAAGGAAUUCGGGGCAACUUUUCUCGGAUUCCGGUUGUGUCGUAAUUGUUCAAUUCUCCGCGAGGGGCAGUGCAGCGGGUCAGAUGAAAGGCGACAGAUAGGGCUUCCACGCGGUGGUGGUGGUGGUGGUGGUGGUGGUAGUCGUUCGGUGGACGAGGGGGAAAAAGGAGAAGCUCGAAAAUGCACGUAGGCAGAUGCCUCAUUAACGAACCGCGGCCAGGUAACCAGCGGCUGGUUACGAGUGAGCAUUUACACGUGGCAACCUGUUACACGGAUAUUAUGGCAAUCCUUAUCUACGGCUGGCAUGCGGUCCAACGAUCUUCCAACACACUUCGCAACACGACUCUACAUCUAACGAUUUUAAGAAUCAAACUUGUAAACGUCGCAAGAGGAUCUAUGAUCGGACGUAUCAAAAGCUGAGGGGGGGAAAAGAAAAAAGGAAAAGAGAGAAAGAAAUUCUUAGAAGUAGGGCAAAGAACGUCUAGCGGUAACAUUCGAAACCCACGCUCGAUGCAAGCGUUCUUCCGUCUUCCGUCGGCGCACCAUGACCCGGAAUACCGUGAAUCACAUCGCGAGAGCUCGAGAAACUUGAAGAUCUUCCUCGAGGAGCGACCAGCUCCGCGUGUUUAUCCGCGACGAUCUUGAUAACCGGUGAGUUUCGAGAAGCGUAGCCGGUCCCUGUUCACAGCGUGCGGCCGUAUAAUCACACCUGACUUUUUCUCAUCCGAGGAAUUAAGAGCAGGCCAGGGACGACGACCACGUGUCCAUGGAAGCGAUACCCUUUGGAGCAAAGGGGCCGACCGCGGGCAGGGCGAGGGUGUUGAAACGCUCGUUACUCGUGGAGUGGUGCAAGCGGCCGUGAGUAAGUUCAACGAUCAACCGGAUUCACGAUCCCAUUCCGGACGCCCCCCCCCCGCCCUCCGUAUCAGAUUCUGGGAAGACUCGUUCCGAGUCGUCCUUACGAUCGCCUCCUCGCCGUGGAAAUCUGUUAGAAACUCCACCUUUUCUCACGCUCCGCGGCGGAUAAGCCGCCUCUCCUCGCCCUCGAACGAACAUUCCGCGUUUCGACUCGAUCCUGGCUCGGCCAGCUGCGACAAGGGCUGGCGUGACGAGAUCUAGAUAACUCUCGUAUAAAUUGAUUCGUUAAUUGGAAAUUAGCCAAGGUGGAACAGCUCGAUGGCCAGCAGGGAUAAAUUCAUUUUCUCCGAGUUGGGGCGGAAUUAGGGGGGAAGAACGAAGGAUCCGCCCCCGCGGGGGAAUUGGGCUGGUCUCUCUCUCUCUCGACGAGAGGCUGCCGUUCAUCGGUCACGUCUUAAUCGACGCUUGCCUCUCCGACAGUCGCGCGGUCGGGGGUCCGAGCGUCGAGCGUAACCGAAUCGUUGGCCCCUGCCACUCGUCGAACGAAAACGAGAGAGGGGAAGAGAGAGGGGGAGGUAUUUAAGAAAAAACGGUCGGAAACGCGGGCCAGGGCAAAGGGCAGGGCCCAUCCUCGCUCGUUCUACACGGAUCGGCCAUCAGCGGCCGAGCGGAGGAAACGGCCGCGCGACUGCGGCCACCUGCGUGCGUUCGAUCGGACCGGUCUUCUAAUUGACAGGAUCGCUGGUUGUAAGUUGCAGGGGUGGGGGGAGGGGUAAUUGGCAACGGUGGACGGCGAUCGAAGCCGCGAUAAAUCGAUUCACCGCGUUUUGGAUUUGAAGAGGAAGAGCGCACGAAAUACGCGACGAUUCUAACGGCAGAUGCGCGAUCACCGUGACCGAUCGGCUCGAUCCAUCGAUCCCUGUUUCCCUUUCAAUUAAUUAAUUCGAAAUAAUUAAUGGAUUUAUUGGUCGAAACGAGUGGCAAUAAACAUGGCGCGGAACACUUCUUACGGUUGCGCACAGGUGUGGAUGGUUCGAUCGAUCUCGGGGCAAGUAUUAUAAAUCCGCGUUCUGGAUUCCCGUGGACCGAGGAAGCGGUGGCGAACGAGCCACGGUCGUAUAUUUCCUCGGCGGAUAAGCGUGGGCCCGAUUCUGGAACCCACUUAUCGCUGCCGCACCGCCUCGUAUUAUUUAAUUAAUGAAUACUCGAUCGGCGCCGAUCGACACACGCGGCGAUAACUGUUAUUACGAUUUUUACACGCACGGGUGCCGGGGAAUACGUGUCCCCGCGAUAUCCCCGCGAUAACUCGUGCCACGUAGAAAUGGAAUCGUGGGACCCACUUAAGCCUCCCCUCUUCCUCCUCCCAGAGAGAUCUCGAGAGGACGAACCUAAUGAUUCCCCGAACUCGAUUUUCCAUUGCUUUCCCUUCGAGCAGUAUCGAAGCCGGUUGCGGUCCGUUGCGAUCGUUUUAGAAGGAACCGCUAAUCGGUGAGAAGUGUCAGUUCGUAAAAGCUGGCCGAGGAACGGCCGCUUAAUGGCGUGACUUCUCUCGUUAUCUGACUGGAAGACAUUUCAAUUACCCGGCUUGACAGCCAGAGGUUUCGAGAAGGUAGUCCAUCUCGCCGCUACUCCGUGCGGGAGAGGGAGGAAUCUUAAGUGGAUUAAAAUUAAUUUUAAAAUCGUAUUUGAGACGCUUCCAGAGGGAGAGGUCCAGGGGGAAAGGUGUUUACUUAUUCGUUAUAUUGCACCGUGUCCCAAACACGAGAAAGCAAAGAUAUGAAAAGCGUAUCGAUCUCGCGGAUCGACACUCGUUCCGUUAAAAAUUAUACGCGAUUAUAGUUUGGGGAUAUUAUGCGAGUAGAAACGCAACGCGUAAUGCAGCUGAUCGAUAAUCGAGGGAAGAGCGUGGCAAGGAGAAGAAACGCGUGUUCCGAGUUGGACGACUUUUAUUAACGAUC